rnacentral:tRNA from 1 species
UGAGGAUAUAGCUCAGUUGGUAGAGUGUUUGCCUCAUAUGUACAAGGCCCUGGGUUCAAUUCUCAGCACCACAA